rnacentral:tRNA from 1 species
GGGCAGGUACCAAAGUGGCCAAAUGGACCAGACUGUAAAUCUGGCGGCUAUGCCUUCGAAGGUUCGAAUCCUUCCCUGCCCACCA